AUAAGUAACAGGUCGUAGACCCGAAACCAGGUGAUCUACCCAUGUCCAGGAUGAAGGUAAGGUAAUACUUACUGGAGGUCCGAACCCACGCACGUUGAAAAGUGCGGGGAUGAGGUGUGGGUAGCGGAGAAAUUCCAAUCGAACUUGGAGAUAGCUGGUUCUCUCCGAAAUAGCUUUAGGGCUAGCCUCGAGGUAAAGAGUCAUGGAGGUAGAGCACUGUUUGGACUAGGGGCCCUUCUCGGGUUACCGAAUUCAGAUAAACUCCGAAUGCCAUGUACUUAUACUCGGGAGUCAGACUGCGAGUGAUAAGAUCCGUAGUCGAAAGGGAAACAGCCCAGACCACCAGUUAAGGUCCCCAAAUAUAUGUUAAGUGGAAAAGGAUGUGGGGUUGCUUAGACAACCAGGAUGUUGGCUUAGAAGCAGCCACCAUUGAAAGAGUGCGUAAUAGCUCACUGGUCGAGUGACCCCGCGCCGAAAAUGUACCGGGGCUAAACAUAUUACCGAAACUGUGGAUGAACCUCUUUUAGAGGUUCGUGGUAGGAGAGCGUUCUAAGGGCGGUGAAGUCAGACCGGAAGGACUGGUGGAGCGCUUAGAAGUGAGAAUGCCGGUAUGAGUAGCGAAAGAAGGGUGAGAAUCCCUUCCACCGAAUAUCUAAGGUUUCCUGAGGAAGGCUCGUCCGCUCAGGGUUAGUCGGGACCUAAGCCGAGGCCGAUAGGCGUAGGCGAUGGACAACAGGUAGAGAUUCCUGUACCAGUGCUAAUUGUUUAACCGAUGGGGUGACACAGAAGGAUAGGGAAUCGCACGAAUGGAAAUGUGCGUCCAAGCAGUGAGUGUGAGAAGUAGGCAAAUCCGCUUCUCGCGAAGCAUGAGCUGUGAUGGGGAAGGAAAUUAAGUACGGAAGUUCCUGAUUUCACGCUGUCAAGAAAAGCCUCUAGGAAGAGUAGUACUGCCCGUACCGCAAACCGACACAGGUAGAUGAGGAGAGAAUCCUAAGGUGAGCGAGAGAACUCUCGUUAAGGAACUCGGCAAAAUGACCCCGUAACUUCGGGAGAAGGGGUGCUCUAUUAGGGUGCAAGCCCGAGAGAGCCGCAGUGAAUAGGCCCAGGCGACUGUUUAGCAAAAACACAGGUCUCUGCAAAACCGUAAGGUGACGUAUAGGGGCUGACGCCUGCCCGGUGCUGGAAGGUUAAGAGGAGUGCUUAGCUUCGGCGAAGGUACGAAUUGAAGCCCCAGUAAACGGCGGCCGUAACUAUAACGGUCCUAAGGUAGCGAAAUUCCUUGUCGGGUAAGUUCCGACCCGCACGAAAGGCGCAACGAUCUGGGCACUGUCUCAACGAGAGACUCGGUGAAAUUAUAGUACCUGUGAAGAUGCAGGUUACCCGCGACAGGACGGAAAGACCCCGUGGAGCUUUACUGCAACCUGAUAUGGAAUGUUUGUACCGCUUGUACAGGAUAGGUAGGAGCCGAAGAGACGUGUGCGCUAGCAUACGAGGAGGCAAUGGUGGGAUACUACCCUGGCUGUAUGACCAUUCUAACCCGCCACGCUUAGCGCGUGGGGAGACAGUGUCAGGUGGGCAGUUUGACUGGGGCGGUCGCCUCCUAAAGAGUAACGGAGGCGCCCAAAGGUUCCCUCAGAAUGGAUGGAAAUCAUUCGCAGAGUGUAAAGGCACAAGGGAGCUUGACUGCGAGACUGACAAGUCGAGCAGGGACGAAAGUCGGGCUUAGUGAUCCGGUGGUUCCGCAUGGAAGGGCCAUCGCUCAACGGAUAAAAGCUACCCCGGGGAUAACAGGCUUAUCUCCCCCAAGAGUCCACAUCGACGGGGAGGUUUGGCACCUCGAUGUCGGCUCGUCGCAUCCUGGGGCUGUAGUCGGUCCCAAGGGUUGGGCUGUUCGCCCAUUAAAGCGGCACGCGAGCUGGGUUCAGAACGUCGUGAGACAGUUCGGUCCCUAUCCGUCGCGGGCGCAGGAAAUUUGAGAGGAGCUGUCCUUAGUACGAGAGGACCGGGAUGGACACACCGCUGGUGUACCAGUUGUUCCGCCAGGAGCAUCGCUGGGUAGCUAUGUGUGGCAGGGAUAAACGCUGAAAGCAUCUAAGCGUGAAGCCCCCCUCAAGAUGAGAUUUCCCAUUUCUUCGGAAAGUAAGAUCCCUGAAAGAUGAUCAGGUAGAUAGGUUUGGAGUGGAAGUGUAGCGAUACAUGGAGCGGACAAAUACUAAUCGAUCGAGGACUUAACCAAAA
rnacentral:rRNA from 1 species